UACGUAGGGAGCAAGCGUUGUCCGGAAUCAUUGGGCGUAAAGGGCGCGUAGGCGGGCUGCCGCGUCCGGGGUGAAAUCCUCCGGCUCAACCGGAGAACGGCCCCGGGUACGGGCGGCCUCGAGGAAGGUAGGGGCGUGCGGAACUGUGGGUGGAGCGGUGAAAUGCGUUGAUAUCCACAGGAACUCCGGUGGCGAAGGCGGCACGCUGGACCUUUUCUGACGCUGAGGCGCGAAAGCCAGGGGAGCGAACGGG
rnacentral:rRNA from 1 species